ACUAACACGAGCAAAUUCCCUUCGAAUUCUUCAACAUUGUGUCCAAAUACUACCCAACCACGAGCAAAGCUAAUUCACCCUUAUGUUGAUAUCUAGACAGCAAUAAAACCCAUAUUCCCCACGAGUAACUCCACAAAAGUAGCACACCGACCAAAACAAGACCAAAACACUUAAAUCCUCGCUCGGUAGAGGAGAGACUUAUUAGACUUGUUAGAAGACUUAUAGAGCUAUGACCAUCAACUAGAGACUCAUCCCCAGCCUAAAACACAAUUAAACUGUAACAAUCUCCUUCCUCGAAGGGUUGGAUUUUACCACUUUUAUUUCCUCCUCCAACUGCAACUGCAUCUUUGCAGCUUUCUUCUUGUUGGCCUUACAUGCAUCGCCUGGAUCUCCUUUUCCAUCAGUCCCACGAGUCUUCUUCUUUAUUUUUUUUUGCCCAACAGACGACUUCUUUUCUUCUUAUUUGGCCUGCUUUGUGCGGCUGCAGUGACAACAAUAUGCCUACCAAUAGCGAGACUAAGUCGAGGUCGUUUUGAUCUCACUGCCAAUGGACCUGAAGCAAAUUCUCCAGUAGCAAAGGUAGCAAAAGUAGGUGCAAUCGCAGAGGGUAUUUGUGCUUUAGACACAGUUCUUG